rnacentral:lncRNA from 1 species
CCUGUCUUUCUCCUCUCUGUGUGUCUCUGAAAUACACACACAUACUCUCUCGCACAAAGGAGGGAAAGUGUCACUAUGGAAACAAGGAGGCGAGAUUCUAAAAGCUACCUCUUGAGACGAGAGUUAAGACAACAAAAAGGAGUCCACUGUGUGAGUGGCAGAAAAGCAACAAUAUACACAGCAGCUAUACCUCUCCUUCCUGUGAAUGUCCUCAUCAAGUUGCUUUGCCAGCCCUUUUAUCUUUAUCCCUCUGGGGUUUUUUUGUUUUGUUUUUUUACCUUUACCAGACUGUGCAGUUACCUUACAAUGAUGAAUGUAAGCCUAAAUGAGUUGAGACGCAGAGAAAUGCCCGCGGGAGACAGAGGAGGAGGCUGGGAGGUAGAUUUAAGUCUCUAUGUGUGUGUGUGUCUGUGUUUGUUGCUGUGUACACAUGCGCUCUUAUCUGUGUGUGUCUGCGUGUGUGAGUCCGUGCAUGUGCAUUUAUUAAGGUUUCUGCAGUGGCUGAAAGAGGUUUUUCCUCCUUGCUCGGUUGAAGGCUAUUUUCUGUGGGUCUGCAGGGUCACUGCUGUCCUUAGUGAUGUCUCCUUCAAGAGUAAUCAGCACCAUGGACAGCAACACCGAUCUCCACCAUCACAGGCACCACAGCAGGCAUCCAUCUCAAUAGACUCAAAAAGGCUUCCUGUGCUUAGCUCCUUUCCAUUUUCAUUUUCUGCUGAUGUGAAAGAAUUGGAUAGGUGAAAGUGGGCUGCACAUUAAGCUUCAGCCUUGAUGUACACCUUCAGCCCUCGGUCUAUAACAGGAAUGGAAAGCACAUGCAGGGGGUGAUAGAGGAAGAGGCGAAGCUAACUGUGAAAGACCUGCAGGCAAUCACAUCUAUUAAUAAAAUCUCUAAUGUAAAACUCCUUGUGGAUGAGUUCCUUCUGUGAUGGCAGAUUCACACACCUACGAGGAGCAAUAUGCAGCACAAG